UUGUAUAUAGUUAUGGGCAUCAGAAAUUUUCUGAAAGUCUCAAAAUGACACAUAAAGUUUAAUCUACAAUACAAAAUCUUAUAUACUACUACUGCUUUCCCACUACCACUAUCCACUCCAUUUCACUAAUGAGAAACUUUAAGUAGCUUUCUAACUGGGCUUGUAAAGGCCAAUACAAAUAAGAUAGCUUAUUGUGUUUACAGCCAGGUUUAUUUGUGAUUGUGAUUUGUAUCGGAGACUAUCAGUCAAGAAGUUAUUCUCAAAUUGCCUUUUCUAUUCUUUGAGACAAUGAAGGUUAUAUGACUUCAUUCACCUUCUUUUUUCCUCUUAGCAAGACAAAUACAAGUGCCUAGUGAAACGCUUAUUGUCUCUUGGCCAUGCAUACAGAAAAACAAUUUUUAGAGAAUACCUGAGCAAGCAAAAUUUUAUAGAAUUGAGUGGACAUCACGUAGAAUUGUGGGUUGGGGACCGUGCUGUAGAUAGUCAGUCUUGCUGAAGUUGUGAAAACCGAGUGAGGACCUAAAUUAAGAUGUAUUCUGAUGAUGAAAUAAGCCAAAACUUUAGUUUUGUUUCAUUGUAUCAACCUUGGGAAGACUGUACAAAAUGUUAUAGACCAGUGAAACCUUAUACAGGUCUGAAAAAAAGUGUUGUAACCUUCAGAUGAAACUUUUUUUUUUUAAGAUUUUAUUUAUUCAUUUGAGAUAGAACAGGCAGGGAAAGGGGAGAAACAGAGGGAGAGGGGGAAGGAGACUCCCUGCUUAUCAGGGACACCCCCUCCAGGGCUGGAUCCCAGGACCCUGAGAUCAUGACCUGAGCUGAAGGCAGAUACGUAAUCAACUGAGCCACCCAGGCGCCCUAGUUCAGAUAAAACUUCUGUGUCAUAGGAGUUGGUGUGGUCUGUGAGCUUGUGAAAAUGAAGUGUUUCAGGUUUGAUUUCAUGAAAUGUCAUUCCAUAUUUCUUUUAAUCUUAGUUUUAGGAUGAUUGGAUAUGCACAUUUCUUAUUUAACGGUGAUUACUGUAUAUAAUAAUUAACUCAUUUCAUACUCAUUACCAUAAACAUGAAACAGUGGUUAUAAUAUACAUACUGAGAUAAGGUGUUUUGUUUUUUUUUAAAGAUUUUAUUUGUUUACUCAUGAGAGACACAGAGAGAGAGGCAGAGACACAGGCAGAGGGAGAAUUCUGCAGGCUCUACUCAGGGAGCCCGAUGUGGGACUUGAUCCCAGGACUCUAGGAUCACACCCAGGGCUGAAGGCGGGGCGCUAAACCACUGAGCCACUGUGGCUGCCCAAGGUGGGUUUUUUUUUUUUUUUUUUUUUUUUUUGCAAAAGAAAAGAUCUAAUGUAAAAAGUAACGCAACAGUUCAGAAAAUUUGUUACAAUAGAAAAGAAAAGAAAAAUGAAGCAUGCCACUAAUCUUGACAGGCAAAUUUUAUAAUUUUUGAAACAAAAAAGAUGAGAUUUAUUAAUUUCUAAAAGUAUCUUCUAUCUCUGUUUCUUCGAGUCUAUAACAUAGACUCCUGUCAUUUAACUGACAUGUCUUGGUCUCAGUCUUUUUUCCACAUGUGUUCUUUAAAUUGAAUAAGACAUUCAUACUUAGUGCUAUUGCCCUCUUAUCCAUCAUAUUUGCUUAUAGCAUCAUAUUUGCUAGUAGCAAAUAUUGGUUACUUUUGAGAAAUAACAAAAUAAUAACUCUUGAUUAACAUUUUAGCAUGUAAUGAUACGAAAACUAAGGUAGGAAUUCAUAAAUAAAUGAAUUUUAUAUCUGAUAAUAGGAAAUUCUAGUUAUAGUUAAAAGUCAGAAUUUCUUCUUCUUUUUUUUUUUUUUUUUAAAUUGAUUUUAUUUAUUCAUGAGAGACACACAGAGAGAGAUACACAGGCAGAGGGAGAAGCAGGGUCCAUGCAGGGAGCCUGAUGUGGAAUUUGAUCCUGGGACUCGAUCCUGGGACUCCAGGAUCACACCCUGGCCGAAGCCAGGCACUAAACCAGAGCCACCUAGGGAUCCCUAAAAGUCAGAAUUUUAAUAUUAGAUUGAAAAGUCGGACCAGGUAGACACAUAUUUAUGCCACAAACAUGAGUAUGGCUCCUCAGAUUGGGCAUCAAGAAAUGUCCAUUGAAUAAAUGGUGGAUGCAUUUUACCAGUUGCUUUGGGGGGUGGAAUUGCAUAUUUUCUUUUUUGUAGUUUGCUUUGCAUUUGUUAAAAACCAUUAAAAGCAAAUGUAGUGCUUAUAUUUUGCCAAAGUACGAGACAGAAUAGUAGGCAGAAAAUUGGUAUGUAGGCGGGCAAAAGGGCAGAUUCACUGCCAAAUGGCUUUAGAUGAGUUGAUGCAAGGAAUUUAAAUAUUAGGCUUUGAUGAGAGAUUGUUGAAUUUUCUCAAUGUUGUUUCCUUUGGUAUGCAAGCUAAUUAGACAACAACAACUAAUUGGAUCCAGUGGCUCAGACAGCUUGCUUCUGUUGGCACAGAUGCUAUAGGGUAGCACAGUUGGCUUUACUGACAACUAGGAAGACUUCCAUCAAGGCUCAGCUGUGAUCAUGUCUGCAGGUCCCUUCUGGCCUGCUCUUAGAUGCCCUUGCCUUAAAUGGGGCAUUGGUAGCAAGAAGUGUUCCAGGAGAUGCUCAUAACUUUAUUUGUGGUGUUGAUGCAAUUUGUACUCACCCCUCCUAAUAUAUUUUGUCAAUCUCAAAGCUCUAUCACCCUAGAAAAAUGAGAGAGAUUCCUUAUUUGGCAAGAAUAAAAAUUAUUAUAAAGCAUCUUGCUUCUGCAUUAAGUGAUAACGUAUAAGUGAGCAGCUGAUCUUAAUCUUAAUCAUGCAUAAAAACACCCAGGUAUCUUGUUAAAUAUUUAUAUUUCCAUGGCACUACUCUAUAAACUCUAAUGUAAUAGGUGUGGAAUGAAAUACUGUAGAAGCCCACCUUUCCCCAGCUUAACUAGAAUGGGGACUGUCUCCUAUAUUUAUUCAGGAGUCAGAAAUGAUUUUCAUACCCAAAGUGUUGAUAAACACAUUUAGUCCGUAAAGAUAUACUUCAGAGCUGAACUUAAUACCCUCCUUUUAUAGCUCUGAAUAUCAUAUUUUUUGUUACACGAGCUUGUUUGUCUCAUAGGGCUUGUAGUAGACUUUUAGUAACAGGAUUUUGAAAGACCUUUUUUCCUUAAUGUGUAUAAUUAAACACUGAAAAUAAGGAAUCAUCAAAAGUAAAUUUACCCUAUGUUGCUGGCUAGGAUAACUUUAUCCUAUAGGGGUAGGUGGUAAUGGUCUUUCUUGAAAACUUUGAUACAUAAUAAGUACAUGAAAGAUUAUGUAGAUACAGCCCUGUAGUCCUUAUUAUAUAUUGAAUAGUGUACAGAUUACAAGGAAUUGGGAUUUGAGUGUCUCCUAAUUGAGCCUUCUGAAUUUGGAUAAGGCAGAGUACCUUCCCUGCACAUCUGGAGAGAAUCCAGAUGACCUUUCAUUGUCCAUCAUUGUCCGUGUAUGCAUCACGGUUGGACUAGAAAUGGGAUACAUGAUUUAGGAUUCUAAAAUGUUCUGAACUAUUCAGCUGCAUCUUUUUACAUAGCUGCUUCUAAGAUCGGACCAAAUUAACAUCCUAGCCUCAGAAAACAUAAACAAGGUUGCAUAGUUUUGCACAAAGAACUAAUUUAUUCUUCCUCAAUAAGAAAACAUAAGACAAGGAAGGAUUUACUGUUGCUGAAAAAGUUUAGAACAGCAUUGUUAUAUCACUUAUUUCUAAUUGUCUUUUUAUGAUUUCUGUAACACCUAGCAGUUUAUUCAUAUAAUUGAUAGGUCGACUGGUCACCAUGUAAUCUGGUUAAUAUUUACUUGUGAUUUUCAAAGUAGAACAUGUUAAUAUGAGGAAAUGGCAAAUAUGUUUAGAUGGUAUUUUAAAAACUUUUUUUCAUAUCCACUUUAUUCUUUGAUACUUGGGUAUUGUACACAAGCAUUAAACAUCUUAAUGAUUUUGGUUUGUUAAGAAUGAAAAAAGAAAAAAUCAGUGCAAUUAAAAAGUCCUUUCAAAACCUGUUUAAAU
rnacentral:lncRNA from 1 species